AUUGAACGCUGGCGGCAUGCUUUACACAUGCAAGUCGGACGAGUGGCGAACGGGUGAGUAACGCAUCGGAACGUACCGAGUAAUGGGGGAUAACUGUCCGAAAGGACAGCUAAUACCGCAUAUUAUUCGAGCGGCCGAUAUCUGAUUAGCUAGUUGGUGGGGUAAAGGCCUACCAAGGCGACGAUCAGUAGCGGGUCUGAGAGGAUGAUCCGCCACACUGGGACUGAGACACGGCCCAGACGCCUACGGGAGGCAGCAGUGGGGAAUUUUGGACAAUGGGCGCAAGCCUGAGCCAGCCAUGCCGCGUGUCUGAAGAAGGCCUUCGGGUUGUAAAGGACUUUUGUCAGGGAAGCGGUACCUGAAGAAUAAGCACCGGCUAACUACGUGCCAGCCGCCGCGGUAAUUC
rnacentral:rRNA from 1 species